UUUCAAGAAUGCAAAGUGUAUAAUUUAUUGCUUUAAAAUUUCUUUCUAAAGGUUUCAGUGUUGACUGGUGGGCUCUUGGAGUGCUAAUGUUUGAGAUGAUGGCAGGAAGGUCUCCAUUUGAUAUUGUUGGGAGCUCCGAUAACCCUGACCAAAACACAGAGGAUUAUCUCUUCCAAGUUAUUUUGGAAAAACAAAUUCGCAUACCACGUUCUCUGUCUGUAAAAGCUGCAAGUGUUCUGAAGAGUUUUCUUAACAAGGACCCUAAGGAACGAUUGGGUUGUCAUCCUCAAACAGGAUUUGCUGAUAUUCAGGGACACCCGUUCUUCCGAAAUGUUGAUUGGGAUAUGAUGGAGCAAAAACAGGUGGUACCUCCCUUUAAACCAAAUAUUUCUGGGGAAUUUGGUUUGGACAACUUUGAUUCUCAGUUUACUAAUGAACCUGUCCAGCUCACUCCGGAUGACGAUGACAUUGUGAGGAAGAUUGAUCAGUCUGAAUUUGAAGGUUUUGAGUAUAUCAAUCCUCUUUUGAUGUCUGCAGAAGAAUGUGUCUGAUCCUCAUUUUUCAACCAUGUAGUCUACUCAUGUUGCCA
rnacentral:sRNA from 1 species